ACGACGUCCGACGCCGGAAGCCUUGAACGUCACUCCCGUCUUUCUCGCCGUGAAGCUCGUAGGCUGACGCGAGACUUGGAGGAGAAAAUGGCGUCGCGAAAUGAAGAUGGACGAGCACGUGGGAGGCGGGUUGGGGUUGACUUCGCUUCUUUCCCGUUGGAUUUCGAACUGACGUGGCCGUUGGAUAUCUUGAAAGGCUGGAAGCUGGAACUGUUCCUGGAGUGUGGCUAACGAGUGAAGUGGAAUAACAGCAUGUAACAGAGAAAGUCUGGAAGCUUGACCUACUCCUGGUGUUUGGGAAAGCAAGAGUGAAAUGGAAAUAACAGCAUGACGUGCAGAAAGUCUGGAAGCUGGAAUGAUUCCUGGAGUGUGACAGUUGAAUGAAGUGGAAUAACAGCAUGUAGCACAGAAUGACAAAGCUGGAACUAUUGCUUGGAGUUUGAGAAAGCAGGAGUGAAAUGGAAAUACCAUGAUAGUGCAGAAAGUCUGGAGGCUGGUGUCAUGGAAGUGAAGUGACAGUGAGGACAAGGAAAAAAAAAAGAAUAAUUUUGUAAUGUGGAAGUAAUGUUUCUUCAAUGGUGUUAUACCAUGUAGCAGCUUUGAAGAGUUAGUUAACCUCAAGUAGGCAUAUUGCCUAGCUUCCUGUUCUAUUGUUUAAGGAAAUGAAAGUGGAUAUUUUAAAGUUGAGUGAAUAAGUAGAGAUCUGACAAGGAUAGCACUUUGCAAGGUUACUUCAGAAGGUGCCAGUGUUCUUGCUGGCCGAGGACCUCAGCACUGGUUAUGAUGUAGAAACUUGUGGGUUGUGUAUGUACAUUAGCUUCUGUGUAAUAAAUUGUAGCUUGAAGUAUACUACAGUAUAGACAAACAGGUAGAGGAAAGCUGUAAAAAAAACUUGGUAAUAAAUUCAGAUGAUGCUAA